GACGAACGCUGGCGGCGUGCCUAACACAUGCAAGUUGAGCGACGAACCAGGGCUUGCCCUGGGGCAAAGCAGCGAACGGGUGAGUAACACGUGGGUAACCUACCCCGAUAACCGGGACAACCCGCGGCAACUCGGGCUAAUACCGGAUGUGCUCACUGGACUUCGGUUCAGUGCGUAAAGGAAGCUUCGGCCUCCGUAUCGGGAGGGGCCCGCGGCCCAUUAGUUUGUUGGUGAGGUAACGGCUCACCAAGACCGCGAUGGGUAGCUGGUCUGAGAGGACGAUCAGCCACACUGGGACUGAGACACGGCCCAGACUCCUACGGGAGGCAGCAGUGGGGAAUCUUGCGCAAUGCGCGAAAGCGUGACGCAGCAACGCCGCGUGGGGGAAGAAGGCCUUCGGGUUGUAAACCCCUUUCAGGAGGGACGAAGGUUCGGCGGUGAAUAGCCGUCCGGACUGACGGUACCUCCACAAGAAGCCCCGGCUAACUACGUG
rnacentral:rRNA from 1 species